CAUUGGCCCUUUAAGAUCUUCCAUAGUCACAUGACGCGGAAGCAUGAACCCAUAAGAGCCGCAUGUGUUUGUUUACUUGACGAAGAGGUCAGGUUAGUAAUGAGAUAACGAUGGAAGAUGACCCCGUAGCUGCGAGCGUGCCUGUCCUCGACAGCUUCAUAUCAGACCACGACGGUUUCUUUGGGACCAUUAAAAACUGCUCCAGAGACUUUGUGGUCACUGAGAUAGACAUCGACGGACACGUGGUGACUGAAGACAGCAGCUCCGUCGUCUCUCAGCCAGGUGUAUGUUACGACACCAAGGAGAGGACAUCCCAAGCUCCGUCUAAGAGGAGAGAGAGUGCUUCCUCUGCAUGUAGACCCAGCCUCACUCAGGACUGCUCCAUCCCAGGAGUUGAACCUACAGACACAGCAGCUGGUAAGCAGCAUGAUGUCCCCUCUCUCAGAGGAGAGAGUUUGGACCUGAGCUUAGUCUUGGGCCAGUCCACUCAUGCAGAGUUGGAGAAGUUUGUCACCACAUUCAGAAACGGACAAAAGGUGCUCGCCAAGCAAGAGCUAACUCUGGGAUCUUUCCCAGAUAAACUCCAGCGGGCCAAGGUGCACCGCGCAGUACGACAUCAUUUCCCAUUUUUGAUGACGGUGACCAGCCAAUCAGAAAUCAGAGUGAAGGAGGAUCCUGACUACAAAGAGCUGUCAGGAUUAGUUAGUGAGGAGGACGCAGAGAACUUCUUCAGGUUCCUGGAUGCCAAGGUCCCGGGGACGACGUAUACCUUCAGACCUGAGGACAGGAAGCAGAACAGGACGGCAGUGCAUCACUUCCUGAGCCGUAGGUUCGGCAAGCUGGUGGAAACUAAAAGCUUUAGCCAACAGGGGGUGACAAAGAGCUCCAGUGAGCAAAAAGAGAGCAGCCAGCGGGGAGAGACCAGGAUCUCUGUGAGGCUGAGAGAACGAGGAAAGACCACCAAGAGGAGUGCUGGAGAACGUAGAGAAGAGCAGGAGGUCUACACUGCCUUUACUCUGCGUAAGGAGAAUGUGGAGACCCUGGAGGCAAUCAGCCUCAUGGCGGCAGCGCUGGACGUCGUGCCCUCAGACUUCACCUACGCUGGCAUCAAGGACAAGAGGGCCAUCACCCACCAGGGCAUGGUGGUCAAGAAGGUCUCAGCUCAGAGGCUGAUGGAGAAGGCACCAGACUUGGAGAGGAGAGGUCUGGUUCUGUCCCGGGUCCGCUGGGCCUCCGGGCCGCUGAGCCUGGGGCGUCUGCAGGGGAACCACUUUGACCUGGUGGUGCGAGAUCUGAGACCACACCCGUGUCACGGCUCCCAGAAGGACCUGGCUGCUCUGGUGCAGGAAGCUGUGGACAACGUCAAGACCAGAGGAUUCGUGAAUUACUACGGCCCUCAGAGGUUUGGCAGUGCCCAGACUGUCCAAUCAGAUGAGGUCGGACUGGCUCUGCUCAAAGAGGACAUGGUGUUGGCAGUGCGAUUGUUCUUCACCCCAGAGGAAGGUGAUGACCCUCAGAACCAGGCGAAAAGACUCUUCCUCCAGACUGGUGAUGCCAAGGCCAGCCUGGCGCUGAUGCCCAUGUCCAAGCCUCGGGAGCGCAUCAUGCUGCGGGCGCUGCACCGCUACGGUACGGGCCCCGAGGGCUGUGCCCGCGCCUGGCUCGCUCUGCCCCAUGGCAUGAGGGUGUUUUACCCCCACGCUUACUGCAGCCGGGUGUGGAACCAUGCGGUGGCUCACAGGCUGGCCAUGCUGGGGCACAAGCCCAGGCAGGGUGACCUGGUCUGGGUACAUGGUGAUACAGGGGGACUGGAGACCCUGGAGGAAGCAAACCAGUCUCAGAUCCAUGUGGUCACCAGAGAAGAGGAGGAGCAGGGGGUCUACUCACUAGCUCAGGUGGUUCUGCCCAUGCCAGGCAACAGUGUCCAGUACCCAGAGAGCACCCUGGGAGCGUGGUACCAGGCCAGGCUGGCGCAGGACGGACUGCAGAACUGCCGUUUCAGAAUCACCAGCCUCAAACUGAACCUCCCUGGCUGCCAUCGCCCCCUGCUGGCCCUCCCAAGCAAUCUGACCUUCAGCCUGCAGGUCCUGGGUCGGGGGGCUGGGAGGAGAGGGGGAGGAGGAGAGGAGUGCCAGCUAGAGGAUGAUGCAGCAUCACCCAAGCCACAGAACGACACAGACACGGCCUGUCUGAAUAUGACCUUUGACCUUGACACUUCAUGUUACGCCACUGUCUGCCUGAGGGAGCUCAUGAAGCAUGAUCUCUGAGCUGAUUUGGUUCAACUGUUGCCUAGGCGAUUGAAACUGCAUGUGUGUCAAAGCCUCACCUAACAUCCUCCAUUCCUCUCCACUGAUGAGCCGCGAUGUGAUUUCACCCAAGGAUAGCAGAGCCAUCAGACACAAACCGCAACAUUGAAGCUCAGCUAAGCCCCUG